AGUGAACGCUGGCGGUAGGCCUAACACAUGCAAGUCGAACGGCAGCACAGUAAGAGCUUGCUCUUAUGGGUGGCGAGUGGCGGACGGGUGAGGAAUACAUCGGAAUCUACUUUUUCGUGGGGGAUAACGUAGGGAAACUUACGCUAAUACCGCAUACGACCUACGGGUAAAAGCAGGGGAUCUUCGGACCUUGCGCGAUUGAAUGAGCCGAUGUCGGAUUAGCUAGUUGGCGGGGUAAAGGCCCACCAAGGCGACGAUCCGUAGCUGGUCUGAGAGGAUGAUCAGCCACACUGGAACUGAGACACGGUCCAGACUCCUACGGGAGGCAGCAGUGGGGAAUAUUGGACAAUGGGCGCAAGCCUGAUCCAGCCAUACCGCGUGGGUGAAGAAGGCCUUCGGGUUGUAAAGCCCUUUUGUUGGGAAAGAAAAGCAGCAGGUUAAUACCCCGCUGUUCUGACGGUACCCAAAGAAUAAGCACCGGCUAACUUCGUG
rnacentral:rRNA from 1 species